rnacentral:rRNA from 1 species
GAACGCUGGCGGCAUGCCUUACACAUGCAAGUCGAACGGCAGCACGGGAGCAAUCCUGGUGGCGAGUGGCGAACGGGUGAGUAAUAUAUCGGAACGUGCCCAGUCGUGGGGGAUAACGUAGCGAAAGCUACGCUAAUACCGCAUACGAUCUAUGGAUGAAAGCGGGGGAUCGCAAGACCUCGCGCGAUUGGAGCGGCCGAUAUCAGAUUAGGUAGUUGGUGAGGUAAAGGCUCACCAAGCCGACGAUCUGUAGCUGGUCUGAGAGGAUGAUCAGUCACACUGGAACUGAGACACGGUCCAGACUCCUACGGGAGGCAGCAGUGGGGAAUAUUGGACAAUGGGCGAAAGCCUGAUCCAGCCAUGCCGCGUGUGUGAAGAAGGUCUUCGGAUUGUAAAGCACUUUAAGUUGGGAGGAAGGGCAGUAAGUUAAUACCUUGCUGUUUUGACGUUACCAACAGAAUAAGCACCGGCUAACUUCGUG